rnacentral:rRNA from 1 species
GAUGAACGCUAGCGGCAGGCUUAACACGUGCAAGUCGAGGGGUAUGUCGAUUUAUCGGCAGAGACCGGCGCACGGGUGCGUAACGCGUAUGCAACCUACCUUUUACAGGGGGAUAGCCCAGCGAAAUUUGGAUUAAUACAUCAUGGUAUAUAUCAUUCGCAUGUUUGAUAUAUUAAAGUUCCAACGGUAAAAGAUGGGGAUGCGUCCUAUUAGCUAGAUGGUAAGGUAACGGCUUACCAUGGCAACGAUAGGUAGGGGUCCUGAGAGGGAGAUCCCCCACACUGGUACUGGGACACGGACCAGACUCCUACGGGAGGCAGCAGUGAGGAAUAUUGGACAAUGGGCGCAAGCCUGAUCCAGCCAUGCCGCGUGCAGGAAGAAGCAUCUAUGGUGUGUAAACUGCUUUUGUACGGGAAGAAACACUCCUUCGUGAAGGAGCGUGACGGUACCGUAAGAAUAAGGAUCGGCUAACUCCGUGCCAGCCGCCGCGGUAAAAC